rnacentral:piRNA from 1 species
UACAAGUCUUUUGUUUUUUUUUAAGU